GUAGGUGAACCUGCGGAAGGAUCAUUCAUAACAAGUGUUUUAUGGCACUUUUUUAAAUCCAUAUCCACCUUUUGUGCAAUGUCAGGUUGGUCUCUUUUUUUUUAAAAAAAAAAAAGAGGUCGGCCCAAGCAUCAACCGUAUCUUUUAACUCUUUGACUGAAAAAUUUUAUGAAUAAAACAAUUCAAAAUACAACUUUCAGCAACGGAUCUCUUGGCUCUC
rnacentral:misc_RNA from 1 species